rnacentral:rRNA from 1 species
UGAUGGCGUAUAUUAAAUUUGUUGCAGUUAAAAAGCUCGUAGUUGAAAUGAUGGUAAGUUGUUGGAAUCCCUUCUGGGAACCAUUGACCUACCAGGCGUCUCUCGAUGCCUCGUUACUUUGAGAAAAAUAGAGUGUUCAAGCGGGCAUAUGCUUACAUAGUGUACCGUGGAAUAACAAUCAGGCUGCAUCUCCAGUAUUUGACUCCUGGAGGUGUGGUGCGUGUUGAGAGGAACAAUCGGUGUCUCCGAGAUGGCGCGGGGACCGGUGAAAUGGUUAGAUCCGCGCCAGAUCGACUAGUGCGAAGGCAUCAGACAAGGAUGUUUCCAUUAA